AUGGAUUUUUUGAUGGCAGAGCCAACUUAUAAACUUCUUAUCUUUUUAUGCAUGAUACGAGGAAUAUACGGAGUGCUUAUACAUUAUGAUGUGAACGUAAAUGCUGUGGAGGGACAGAACGUCAGCCUGCAGUGCAUUGUGGGAGAGGAGCAUGAAGUCACAAUUAUCCAGCUGGAAUGGAUUAAACAGCAAAAAGAAAAUGAGAAGAUCGAUCAGAAGAUUGUUGUGUUCCAUCCUGGGUACCCAACAUAUUAUAUUAAAUCCGGUUCUCUUCUGGAGACAGUGACCAGUUCAAAAACUGGGAAGCUGCAGGGCUCAAUCCUGACCCUGUAUAAAGUUGCAGUGAAUGAUGGUGGAAACUAUAUUUGCGAAAUUACAUCUUAUCCUAAUGGCUCAAUUAAAAGAACCACAAAGCUCCAAGUCACAGAGCCUCCAGCAUCAGUGAAGAUGUCAUAUCCAUAUGGAUUCAUAAAAGAAGGAGACGACGUGAAAAUAACUUGUUCAGCUAGCCCUCCACCACUCCGUUAUAAACUUGCAAGGUCAAAGGACCAGAUAUUUUGGCUGGGAAGCUCAAACGGAGAGAUCAUUAUAUCAAACAUCACCAGAAACGACAGCGAUGUGUACAUCUGUUUACCUGAAUGGGACUCAUUAGUACAAAAUCAGCAAGGUCUCAAUGUCACCAUGGAACUGACUGUGAAUUUUCUUGAUGGCAUUGAGUGUAACACAAGCAGCCCUUUAAACGUCAGUGUUGGUGAGGAUGUGAUGAUUUCUUGUAUCGCAAAAGCAUCACAGUACUUGCAGUAUAAGUGGAUGAGGGGUGACACAACACUGUCUCUGUCAGACACUUUGUCUCUGACCUCCGUAACAUCUGACCAGUCGGGAACAUACAAUCUGACAGCUGUCUUUCUGAACAAUCAACUCCAGACAGACAUGCAGUUUUCUAUCCAUGUUCUCUCAAAGCAAAGCCAAGGAAUGACAACUUCUUGCCCAGUAAGUACCACCCAACAUCUGAGCAGCUUUACCUCCAAUGGGACCAGCGAAUGGAGCACUGAUACCACUGUGUCUACAACAGAAUCUGGUCACUUCCUAGCUAGCACAAUAAAACCAAAUGCCACUAAGACAAGCCUACAACCCAGACACACCAGUCAUCCUCCUCCUCUCACUGGCAGCUCUUCUGCUCCACCUGUUGGCAAUGCAUCUACAUUACAUGCAAGCACUGUAAAAUCUCCAGAUUCCUCUACAGACAGUUUGAGCACAACUCCAGAUCCAGCUACCAGAAGAGAAAGAGUCUCCAAUGUUAUAACAAAGAAAACCUUUCCCCCUGUUACAGCACAAAAAGCCUCAAAAAGCUCAAUAUAUAUCGCCGUCCCGAUUGUGUUGUUGAUACUCGUGUUGAUUGUGCUUCUACACAGAAUAUACCAGAACCAAAAAAAAAUGGAUAUGCCACCUCCAUUCAAACCUCCCCCACCACCAGUGAAAUACACAUCAGUGAGGAACCAUGAUGUCUAUAUGACUGAUAUUCUAGUGUGAAUGUAUCAUGUACCUGAGAACCCACAAAUCGUGGGCCACAAAAAUGCUGACAUUGAAGAUUUUUCCCUAAAGGCCUCACCCCCCCAAAAAAUGUUUCAUCAAUUACUCAUCCUCAUGAAGUUUCGUUCAACUUCAAAAUGCAAAUGAAGAUAUUUUUAAGAAAACCUAAGAGAUUUCUGACUUUCCAUUGAAAGUCCACGCAACCAGUACUUUGGUGCUUCGAAAAGUUCAUAAAGACAUUGUAAAUGUAACCCACAUUUAAUUCAAGUCUUCUGACGAGGCAGUCACUUUAUAUGAUGAACAGAUUUAAUUUAAGCUUUUAUUCACAUAUAAACAUUAAUCAGUACAUAGAGUACAUCAAAUAUAUUAUAUGUUUUUGGAAGUCUUAUGGACUUAUAAUUAUGAGGUGAAUUAACUCUGUAACAUUUUAUUUUGUUAUAUUUUUGGUUAUUGUGACAUCACCCUCAUUUUCAUGUUUUUAUGUGUUUUUAAAGUUUUUUUUUACUUAUUUUCUUUGUGUCUCUGAACUGAUUGUUGAAUGGAUACAAUACGUUACUCUUAUAAAUAAUUAGUUUGUUGUUUUUUAACUGAAAACUGACUGAAUGUGACUGAAUUUUGCUUAACUGUGCUUUACUGACAUUAAAUAUAUUAUUGAAUAUCUUGAAUAUCUUGAGUUUUACUUAGCGCACAUCCUACAUCAGAACUAUGUAAAAAAAAAAAAAAAAAAUUGUGUGAGGGUGGGGUGUGUGAGGAUGCGGUCAAAAACCGGGUAAAUUCCAUAAAUAUUAAAUAUGACUAGGCCUUAGAGUUUAAUAAUACACACACACACACAUAUGUGUGUGUGCCAACACUGACCUCCUGUUGUGGCUGUGUGUUCUGUUAACAAAGCGAAGGCUAUCAGCUGAUUGUUUCAGGCCUCAUAAAACCUCAGUUUCCACCUCAGAUAGUAGAGACAAACCAACUGCCAAAACCACAUCAGACAGUGACCAACAGAGACAGCAUGUAUCCUUAACCUAACAGGUCUAAUCUACACAUACAAAUUCCAGCUCUGGUCACUAUUUAUUAUAACUUGCAGUAACAGCACAGCUGGUGGUUGUUUAUAUGGUGCUAAGAACAAAGCAGAAUUUAGUUCUGUUCAUGCUGCUUAUACAACAUCCGGCAUUUUAAAAUGCAGUUUACACCUUAAAACAAGCCUCCAUUCAAUGUGGGAGAAGAUGGAAAUGAAAGGCAUUUCUGAUUUAUGAACAGAGACAUAUGAAUAUUAGAGAGUGUAUGUGUGUUAAGACAGAGAAAACUAGAGAGAGAGAGAGAGAGAGAGAGAGAGAGAGAGUGAGUGAGAGUUGUACAGAGUUUUAUGCAUUGUGGUUCUUUGCUACAACAGCGACACGUUUAUGCAGAGGGACGUUUCCUGCUCUCGCUCUUGUGGUCGGAAAUGGAAAAUUCAGAAAAAAAGGAUUGAUUGUUUCAGUGUCUAGAUCAUCUGUAUCCUGCACUGUAUACAAUCAGGUCUCCAAUGUAUUAUUGUACUUCAUGAUGUAUAUAGGUGAUUUACCAAUAAUGCAUGAGAAAAAUACUCAAUUGUGUAAAGAAUGUGCAAAAUUCUAUUUCCAUUUAUCUUUGCCUCACAGAAUAAAGUACAGUGUGUGAGAGUUCUGUUAUACA
ensembl:lncRNA